rnacentral:rRNA from 1 species
UACGGGGGGAGCAAGCGUUGUUCGGAUUUACUGGGCGUAAAGGGCGCGUAGGCGGCCAGCACAAGUCAGUUGUGAAAUCUCCGAGCUUAACUCGGAAAGGUCAACUGAUACUGUGCGGCUAGAGUGCAGAAGGGGCAACUGGAAUUCUCGGUGUAGCGGUGAAAUGCGUAGAUAUCGAGAGGAACACCUGCGGCGAAGGCGGGUUGCUGGGCCGACACUGACGCUGAGGCGCGAAAGCCAGGGGAGCAAACGGG